UGCAGUUCGAACGGUAACAGGAAGCAAGCUUGCUUGCUUUGCUGACGAGUGGCGGACGGGUGAGUAAUGUCUGGGAAACUGCCUGAUGGAGGGGGAUAACUACUGGAAACGGUAGCUAAUACCGCAUAACGUCGCAAGACCAAAGAGGGGGACCUUCGGGCCUCUUGCCAUCGGAUGUGCCCAGAUGGGAUUAGCUAGUAGGUGGGGUAACGGCUCACCUAGGCGACGAUCCCUAGCUGGUCUGAGAGGAUGACCAGCCACACUGGAACUGAGACACGGUCCAGACUCCUACGGGAGGCAGCAGUGGGGAAUAUUGCACAAUGGGCGCAAGCCUGAUGCAGCCAUGCCGCGUGUAUGAAGAAGGCCUUCGGGUUGUAAAGUACUUUCAGCGGGGAGGAAGGGAGUAAAGUUAAUACCUUUGCUCAUUGACGUUACCCGCAGAAGAAGCACCGGCUAACUCCGUGCCAGCAGCCGCGGUAAUACGGAGGGUGCAAGCGUUAAUCGGAAUUACUGGGCGUAAAGCGCACGCAGGCGGUUUGUUAAGUCAGAUGUGAAAUCCCCGGGCUCAACCUGGGAACUGCAUCUGAUACUGGCAAGCUUGAGUCUCGUAGAGGGGGGUAGAAUUCCAGGUGUAGCGGUGAAAUGCGUAGAGAUCUGGAGGAAUACCGGUGGCGAAGGCGGCCCCCUGGACGAAGACUGACGCUCAGGUGCGAAAGCGUGGGGAGCAAACAGGAUUAGAUACCCUGGUAGUCCACGCCGUAAACGAUGUCGACUUGGAGGUUGUGCCCUUGAGGCGUGGCUUCCGGAGCUAACGCGUUAAGUCGACCGCCUGGGGAGUACGGCCGCAAGGUUAAAACUCAAAUGAAUUGACGGGGGCCCGCACAAGCGGUGGAGCAUGUGGUUUAAUUCGAUGCAACGCGAAGAACCUUACCUGGUCUUGACAUCCACGGAAGUUUUCAGAGAUGAGAAUGUGCCUUCGGGAACCGUGAGACAGGUGCUGCAUGGCUGUCGUCAGCUCGUGUUGUGAAAUGUUGGGUUAAGUCCCGCAACGAGCGCAACCCUUAUCCUUUGUUGCCAGCGGUCCGGCCGGGAACUCAAGGAGACUGCCGUGAUAACUGGAGGAAGGUGGGGAUGACGUCAGUCAUCAUGGCCCUUACGACAGGGCUA
rnacentral:rRNA from 1 species